CAGCCGCCGCGGUAAUACGAAGGGUGCAAGCGUUACUCGGAAUUACUGGGCGUAAAGCGUGCGUAGGUGGUGGUUUUAGUCCGUUGUGAAAGCCCUGGGCUCAACCUGGGAAUUGCAGUGGAUACUGGGUCACUAGAGUGUGGUAGAGGAUAGUGGAAUUUCCGGUGUAGCAGUGAAAUGCGUAGAGAUCGGAAGGAACAUCUGUGGCGAAGGCGACUAUCUGGGCCAACACUGACACUGAGGCACGAAAGCGUGGGGAGCAAACAGGAUUAGAUACCCGCGUAGUCCCUGUCUCUUAUAC
rnacentral:rRNA from 1 species